GUGAACUCGAAGAGUAGGGCGGGACACGUGGUAUCCUGUCUGAAUAUGGGGGGACCAUCCUCCAAGGCUAAAUACUCCUGACUGACCGAUAGUGAACCAGUACCGUGAGGGAAAGGCGAAAAGAACCCCGGCGAGGGGAGUGAAAAAGAACCUGAAACCGUGUACGUACAAGCAGUGGGAGCACCUUCGGGUGUGACUGCGUACCUUUUGUAUAAUGGGUCAGCGACUUAUAUUCUGUAGCAAGGUUAACCGUAUAGGGGAGCCGCAGGGAAACCGAGUCUUAACUGGGCGUUAAGUUGCAGGGUAUAGACCCGAAACCCGGUGAUCUAGCCAUGGGCAGGUUGAAGGUUGGGUAACACUAACUGGAGGACCGAACCGACUAAUGUUGAAAAAUUAGCGGAUGACUUGUGGCUGGGGGUGAAAGGCCAAUCAAACCGGGAGAUAGCUGGUUCUCCCCGAAAGCUAUUUAGGUAGCGCCUCGUGAAUUCAUCUUCGGGGGUAGAGCACUGUUUCGGCUAGGGGGUCAUCCCGACUUACCAACCCGAUGCAAACUACGAAUACCGAAGAAUGUUAUCACGGGAGACACACGGCGGGUGCUAACGUCCGUCGUGAAGAGGGAAACAACCCAGACCGCCAGCUAAGGUCCCAAAGUCAUGGUUAAGUGGGAAACGAUGUGGGAAGGCACAGACAGCCAGGAUGUUGGCUUAGAAGCAGCCAUCAUUUAAAGAAAGCGUAAUAGCUCACUGGUCGAGUCGGCCUGCGCGGAAGAUGUAACGGGGCUAAACCAUGCACCGAAGCUGCGGCAGCGACACUAUGUGUUGUUGGGUAGGGGAGCGUUCUGUAAGCCUGCGAAGGUGACCUGUGAGGGUUGCUGGAGGUAUCAGAAGUGCGAAUGCUGACAUAAGUAACGAUAAAGCGGGUGAAAAGCCCGCUCGCCGGAAGACCAAGGGUUCCUGUCCAACGUUAAUCGGGGCAGGGUGAGUCGACCCCUAAGGCGAGGCCGAAAGGCGUAGUCGAUGGGAAACAGGUUAAUAUUCCUGUACUUGGUGUUACUGCGAAGGGGGGACGGAGAAGGCUAUGUUAGCCGGGCGACGGUUGUCCCGGUUUAAGCAUGUAGGCUGGUUGUCCAGGCAAAUCCGGAUAAUCAAGGCUGAGGUGUGAUGACGAGGCACUACGGUGCUGAAGUAACAAAUGCCCUGCUUCCAGGAAAAGCCUCUAAGCAUCAGGUAACAUUAAAUCGUACCCCAAACCGACACAGGUGGUCAGGUAGAGAAUACCAAGGCGCUUGAGAGAACUCGGGUGAAGGAACUAGGCAAAAUGGUGCCGUAACUUCGGGAGAAGGCACGCUGGUGUGUAGGUGAAGUCCCUGCGGAUGGAGCUGAGACCAGUCGAAGAUACCAGCUGGCUGCAACUGUUUAUUAAAAACACAGCACUGUGCAAACACGAAAGUGGACGUAUACGGUGUGACGCCUGCCCGGUGCCGGAAGGUUAAUUGAUGGGGUUAUCCGUAAGGAGAAGCUCUUGAUCGAAGCCCCGGUAAACGGCGGCCGUAACUAUAACGGUCCUAAGGUAGCGAAAUUCCUUGUCGGGUAAGUUCCGACCUGCACGAAUGGCGUAAUGAUGGCCAGGCUGUCUCCACCCGAGACUCAGUGAAAUUGAACUCGCUGUGAAGAUGCAGUGUACCCGCGGCAAGACGGAAAGACCCCGUGAACCUUUACUAUAGCUUGACACUGAACAUUGAGCCUUGAUGUGUAGGAUAGGUGGGAGGCUUUGAAGCGUGGACGCCAGUCUGCGUGGAGCCAACCUUGAAAUACCACCCUUUAAUGUUUGAUGUUCUAACGUUGGCCCCUUACCGGGGUUGCGGACAGUGUCUGGUGGGUAGUUUGACUGGGGCGGUCUCCUCCCAAAGCGUAACGGAGGAGCACGAAGGUUAGCUAAUCCUGGUCGGACAUCAGGAGGUUAGUGCAAUGGCAUAAGCUAGCUUGACUGCGAGCGUGACGGCGCGAGCAGGUGCGAAAGCAGGUCAUAGUGAUCCGGUGGUUCUGAAUGGAAGGGCCAUCGCUCAACGGAUAAAAGGUACUCCGGGGAUAACAGGCUGAUACCGCCCAAGAGUUCAUAUCGACGGCGGUGUUUGGCACCUCGAUGUCGGCUCAUCACAUCCUGGGGCUGAAGUAGGUCCCAAGGGUAUGGCUGUUCGCCAUUUAAAGUGGUACGCGAGCUGGGUUUAGAACGUCGUGAGACAGUUCGGUCCCUAUCUGCCGUGGGCGCUGGAGAAUUGAGGGGGGCUGCUCCUAGUACGAGAGGACCGGAGUGGACGCAUCACUGGUGUUCGGGUUGUCAUGCCAAUGGCACUGCCCGGUAGCUAAAUGCGGAAGAGAUAAGUGCUGAAAGCAUCUAAGCACGAAACUUGCCCCGAGAUGAGUUCUCCCUGAGACUUUAAGUCUCCUGAAGGAACGUUGAAGACGACGACGUUGAUAGGCCGGGUGUGUAAGCGCAGCGAUGCGUUGAGCUAACCGGUACUAAUGAACCGUGAGGCUUAACCUU
rnacentral:rRNA from 1 species